rnacentral:miRNA from 1 species
GACUGGUUCAAAGUUCGAAAAAUCGGCCAUUUUGUUACUAAAAAUAGAACAAAAUGGCUGCUUUUUCGAAAUUUGAAUCACUC